CCUACGGGAGGCAGCAGUGAGGAAUAUUGGUCAAUGGGCGCAAGCCUGAACCAGCCAUGCCGCGUGAAGGAAGACGGCUCUAUGGGUUGUAAACUUCUUUUAUACGGGAGUAAACGCCAGUACGCAUAUCUCUCUGCAAGUAUCGUAUGAAUAAGGAUCGGCUAACUCCGUGCCAGCAGCCGCGGUAAUACGGAGGAUUCAAGCGUUAUCCGGAUUUAUUGGGUUUAAAGGGUGCGUAGGCGGUUGGUUAAGUUAGAUGUGAAAUUCUGAGGCUCAACUUCAGAAUUGCAUCUGAUACUGGUCGGCUUGAGUGCAGUAGAGGUAGGCGGAAUGCAUGGUGUAGCGGUGAAAUGCUUAGAGAUCAUGAAGAACACCGAUUGCGAAGGCAGCUUACUGGGCUGUAACUGACGCUGAGGCUCGAAAGUGUGGGGAGCAAACAGGAUUAGAUACCCUAGUAGUC
rnacentral:rRNA from 1 species